AGAUGGGGACCUUUGGUUAUUUUUAGC
rnacentral:piRNA from 1 species